CUCAAAAACUUAGUCUCAGUUCGGAUUGUAGGCUGAAACUACGCCUACAUGAAGCUGGAGUUGCUAGUAAUCGCGAAUCAGCAUGUCGCGGUGAAUACGUUCCCGGGCCCUUGUACACACCGCCCGUCACACCAUGAGAGUUGGCAAUACCCAACGUACGUGAUCUAACCCGCAAGGGAGGAAGCGUCCUAAGGUAGGGUCAGCGAUUGGGGUGAAGUCGUAACAAGGUAAC
rnacentral:rRNA from 1 species